UUAAGUUCAGCGGGUAGUCCUACCUGAUUUGAGGCCAAAGCUUUAAUGUGUCUGUUGUCCGCGAGGGACCGUUGGAAGCAGCGUCGCUGGAGGUGGCCUAAGGCGAGCCGAGGAAAUUAUCACGGCAGCACCGAGCACACCAAUGGGCGCAAAGCUAAUGCAUUUCAAGACGAGCCGACUACGGCAACGUCCAAGUCCAC
rnacentral:misc_RNA from 1 species